rnacentral:rRNA from 1 species
UUAUAUUUGAGAGUUUGAUCCUGGCUCAGGAUGAACGCUGGCGGCGUGCCUAACACAUGCAAGUUGAGCGAUCUCUUCGGAGAGAGCGGCGGACGGGUGAGUAACGCGUGGGUAACCUGCCCUGUACACACGGAUAACAUACCGAAAGGUAUACUAAUACGGGAUAACAUACGAAAGUCGCAUGGCUUUUGUAUCAAAGCUCCGGCGGUACAGGAUGGACCCGCGUCUGAUUAGCUAGUUGGUAAGGUAAUGGCUUACCAAGGCAACGAUCAGUAGCCGACCUGAGAGGGUGAUCGGCCACACUGGAACUGAGACACGGUCCAGACUCCUACGGGAGGCAGCAGUGGGGAAUAUUGCACAAU